CAUCACUUCCCCUAUGCAUUUGUGACUUUCCCGUUUCCCAACCCUGCAGCAGGAACUGAACCCUGGCCUGGCACGUUGCCUGGGGCGUGGGAAACUGCCCUCCUCCCAGAUUGGAAGCCCCCCAGUCCCUCACAGAGAUGUGGCUGAAAAGCUGGAGGGAACUCAGAGCCCUUCACAGGCAGCAGAACUGGGGUAUGAGGCCCUCAAGACCCCAGUAAUCCGCUCAUUCCUUCAUGUUCAGGGCAGCAUGGGCUCUGCCUGCCUCGGUUUCCCCACCUCUAAAGUGGGCGUGUGGGCGGAGAGGCGGCUGGGUGCCAGUGAUGGGGGUGGCCACGUCCGGGGCUGGAAGGCUCAGGAUGCAGGUUGGGUCGCCUUCAGUCCCUGACUGCUUGGGGCAACCCCGACUGCCUGCCUGUGGUCCUGUCCUCCCAUUCAGCCCCCCAGAGGUUCUCAGAGCCAUUGCACCCCCUCCACCCCAUGCCCCCUCAGCUCCUGCAGAAGCUCUGGCCUCAGACCUGUCAUGUGACCUUGGCAGCACCUUAGGUCCCCUGAGCUCUAUUUUUAUGGAGGGGCCAGAUGUCCAGGGACCCAGUGCAGAAAUAGGGGAGCAGAUGGAGGUUUGCAGUCCGAGCCACCCUGCACAACCCACAGGUAGCACUUGGGGCUAGGGGGCUGUAGUGAGCAGCCCCUCCUGGGAGGCAAGCAGGCCGCCAGUCCCCACCCCAAGAGUGCUCACAGCAGCCCUCGAGGUCAAUGCCGAACGGGAGACCGAGGCCCAGUCAGGGCAGCAUCACCCACCGGACCCCCUGCACCCACACCAACGCCCCAGGCUCCCGCAGCUACACUCACAGAACUUUCGCAUCCUCAUCCUGGGAUGGGAGCUAGUGGGCAGCGCCUCACCGAUCGGCAGCAGCGAGUGCCCUAGCAGCGUUACGGCUUCGCGGGGCACGUUGGAAAGGCACGAAGGCGGGAUCCUCGCUGGCCAGCCAGCUGGACAGCAGGUUCUGCACGGUGAUCCCGGCCGAGAACUCGUCGGGCAUGAAUACGAAGCACACGGCGACAACCAGGUAGGCCAGCGUGAAAAUCACCUCAGGGCAGUCCAUGGCACCGUCGCCAGGAGGUCGUCCAGCGAUGCCCAGCGUCUGGGCGCUGGCGACCGGCAAAAGGGUCGGUCCCAGGCCGUUCUGAUGUUGCCGCCCCGCCCAUUCGCCGCGUGGCACUCUGGGAGAUGGAGUCUCCCCCGGAGGCCCACUCAUGCCGCCCGCAGGACAUUCCGGGAAAUGGAGUCCCGACCCCCGGCCCCAGGGGACAGUGGGAGAUGGAGUCCGAUCCGACCCAGCCAACGUCACGCCACCCGCGGGUCAUUUUGUGAAAUGGAGUCCGACCACCACCCCCACACGCCGCCGGCGGGGCACCCUGGGAGCUGAAGUCCGCGCACUGCCGGCUAACUGCCCGCGGGGCACUCUGGAAGAUGUAGUUUCCGUCGCCCCUCAUUUAUGCCCUCCGUGUUACACUCUAAGAAAUGGAGUCCCCCUGCCCGGCCGCAAGGGGACACUAAGAAAUGGAGCCUCUGCGCCCAGCGCAGGAUCAAAAGCCGUGAGUCGCCGCAAUAGUGCCCAUGAGGGUGCGGACCCUCCUCACUGGCGGUCCUGUUGGUGGCGCUGCAUCUGGUCCAAUUUUACAGUUGGCAAAACUUAGCGCACGCCAGCGGCUCUCAGGCUCCGGCCAUGCCACGCAGCCCAGUCGCCUCCGCGACAGAGGCCGAGAUCCCCGGAACGGGAGCGAUCUGGCGAACCCGGCCCACCGCAGGCAGAGGUUGUCCCCCGGGAGCGUAUGGUCUUCGCCUCGACCGCCACAUCUUGCAGUCCACCGACCCGGAAGAGGAAUCGCAAGAGCGGGAGGGGGCGGGGCUGACGCAGGAACUCUUCUUAUUGGCGAGCCCACCCCCGCUGGCACUCUGAUUGGCCUCGCCAACCCAAACUUCUGCAUUUGAAUCCGCGGGCGCGACUGCAGUGACCCGACUGGGCUGCCGCUACUCCGCCCCCGCUGAGCGGCGAUUCUUCACAGCGGCGGCGCGGGCUCAGAGCCCUGGCAGCGGCGAGCAGAAUGAGUCUGCAGAUCUUAAAUGACAAAGAUGUCACCAGUGAAGAAAGUACAGAAAACUGUGACUUCCUGUUUUCACCACCAGGACUUACCGGAAGAUCGUCUGUCCUUUGUCUGUCACAGAAAGAAAAUGUGCCACCUAAGAAUCUAGCCAAAGCAAUGAAGGUGACUUUUCAGACACCUCUGCGGGAUCCACAGACAAACAGGAUCUUAAGUCCCAGCAUGACUAGCAAACUUGAGACUCCUUUUGUUCUGGAUGACACCAUUGGAUUAGAAAACUUUCAACAUGUUGGGCCACAGAAAGAGAACCAACAGUUUAUCAAGGAAGUGGACUCGAGAACGACCAAUAGAAUUCUCC